rnacentral:rRNA from 1 species
GACGAACGCUGGCGGCGUGCUUAACACAUGCAAGUCAAACGGAAAGGCCCUGCUUUUGUGGGGUGCUCGAGUGGCGAACGGGUGAGUAACACGUGAGUAACCUGCCCUUGACUUUGGGAUAACUUCAGGAAACUGGGGCUAAUACCGGAUAGGAGCUCCUGCUGCAUGGUGGGGGUUGGAAAGUUUCGGCGGUUGGGGAUGGACUCGCGGCUUAUCAGCUUGUUGGUGGGGUAGUGGCUUACCAAGGCUUUGACGGGUAGCCGGCCUGAGAGGGUGACCGGCCACAUUGGGACUGAGAUACGGCCCAGACUCCUACGGGAGGCAGCAGUGGGGAAUAUUGUACAAUGGGCGGAAGCCUGAUGCAGCAACGCCGCGUGCGGGAUGACGGCCUUCGGGUUGUAAACCGCUUUCGCCUGUGACGAAGCGUGAGUGACGGUAAUGGGUAAAGAAGCACCGGCUAACUACGUG